AGCUCGUGUCGUGAGAUGUUGGGUUAAGUCCCGCAACCGAGCGCAACCCUUGUGUUUAGUUGCAAACAGGUCAAGCUGUGCACUCUAGACAGACUGCCGUGGACAACACGGAGGAAGGUGGGGAUGACGUCAAAUCAUCAUGCCCCUUAUGAUCUGGGCUACACACGUGCUACAAUGGCCGGUACAACGGGCAGCGAAGGAGGCGAUCCGGAGCGAAUCCUAAAAAGCCGGUCCCAGUUCGGAUUGCAGGCUGAAACUCGCCUACAUGAAGUUGGAGUUGCUAGUAAUCGCGAAUCAGAAUGUCGCGGUGAAUGCGUUCCCGGGUCUU
rnacentral:rRNA from 1 species